rnacentral:lncRNA from 1 species
AUUACAAGGCGGAAGUCCUGCCCGAGAGGACAGUCCCCAGGCCUUGCUAAGCAUGCGUGGUAUCAAGAGGUGCAUUGAGGCGCUCCUGCAGCCUCCUCCCGGCACGGGACUCCUCACAACCCCCAGCCUCAGCUUCCCUGACAGGGCAGGGGCUCACUCUUCUCCACUCCGGGCCAGGAACGCAGCCUGCUUGCCUUUUGUCCAAUUGGGUGCUCUUUCUUUGCGACUGAUACAAAGUGGGAACAAACUCCGCUUCCGGUGAUGCCCGGGCCCCAGGAGGCUGGGGGAGAAGUGCACGCUGCCCAGCCUUCAACCUGAACUGCCCCCAGCACUUCCGAGCCCCGACCCCUGCAGCUGUGAGGGAAGCCCCGACCUCUGCCCUGGCCACAUCCUUCCCCUGAUCUCAUGGCUGAAAAGCCACACCAGAAUUCCUGCAAUUCAGUGAGGCAGCUCUUCAAAACCAAGCAGCUGGUGACGCACAGGGACAGAGGGAGCUGUACGCACAGGGCCCAGGGGCUGCUGGCUGCCAGGACCACCGCAUUGCAGAGGUCUCCCUUGCAGCAAGAGAUCUGGGAGUCCACAACGGCACUUAACCUGCCCUCUGCCCUGGCACCCCAGGGACUCACUGCCAAAGACGCUCACUUUCUGGGAGACACAGACCCCAUCCAGGAAGGGGCACGAGACCACGCUGCAGGAGGCCCCUUCCAAGACCGCCAAGCAUCUGUAGCAGCGCAGACCCUGAGCUGGGAGAGAGGGCAAGGAUUCUCUCGGCACCACGGGAACCACCUUCUCUACUCUCACUGAACACCCCUGGGAUGUAUCUGUAAAAAUUGGAACACCUUUCGGCUAGAAACCAGAGGAAGCCGCUCAUGACACCCGGGAGCUCACAGAGGCUCUGAAGUUUCUAUUCAAGAAAACAACUCCAGAUGGGGCUGAUCUGGAAGACAAGUAACAUCUUCCUUUUCUUGGUGCUCGCCUGCCGUGCUCUAGGUGCUUUUAGAGAUGCUGGUCUGUGUGCUAGGGAAGCGAUGAACCAUACUGUUAGUCUAUUAAACAUAACUCAACCUGGCUGGCUUUCCAUGACUACCAAACGCUGGGAAUAUGCCAGACCUGUGCCCGUGGAAGACUCUGGCCUCCCAGCACACCUCCAGGAACAAACUCCCUGGCCCGCAGGAUAGGGAUAGCAGCCCCAACCGUCAAUACAAAGGGAUUUUACUGAGUGGGCUCAUGGGUUCUUUAAGUUCCCCCUCUUAACGAUCAACGGUAAUUCAAACGUCCCAAAAGGAGAAAUGCUUUCUUAGCAUAUCUUUUACCUGGAGUAUUUCCCCUUCUGCCUUUACAGCAAUCAUGCCAGUUCUACCACUUUUGCAAGAAAGCUCCAAGAGAGUCAGUGUAGCUGAAACUUUGUCACUGGGUCACCUAUCUAGUCCAUAUGUCUGCAGGAAUUAUACUGAUAAAUGGACAACUCACCAUGCAAUCAAUCUCCCGCUCUAUCCUGUUCCCUGACCGGCAUGGUUUCUACUUCCUGUCAGCACAACUAGGACGUCUGGUUUCUGCUGGGCUGCCCUCUCAUGGGAAGCCUUUAAUCACUCUAGCUCAAUAUAUCCUCUGGGGACCAUCAACAUUUCCUAUUAAAGAUAACUACACCUGGCCGAGCGCGGUGGCUAACGCCUGUAAUCCCAGAACUUUGGGAAGCCAAGGCGGGUGGAUCACAAAGUCGGGAGAUCAAGACCAUCCUGGCUAACACAGUGAAACCCCUCCUCUACUAAAAAUACAAAAAAUUAGCCAGGCGUGGUGGUGGGUGCCUGUAAUCCCAGCUACUUGGGAGGCUGAGGCAAGAGAAUGGCGAACCUAGGAGGCAGAGUUUGCAGUGAGCUGAGAUGGUGCCACUGCACUCCAGCCUGGGGGACAGAGCUACACUCCAUCCC